ACCCUCCCACUCUCUCGCUCACUCAGUCGCUCACUCGCUCGCUCGCUCGCUCAUGCCUCCCCCUCACUCUGCCGAAUCCCUAGCUCGUCGUCGCCGGUGAAGAGCAGCGCCUCCGCCUCUCAUCGCACACGUCGCCGGCGCCUCUACCCCACACGCUGCGCCUCCGCCUCUCUCUCUCGCGCCGUCGCCGCUUUUCCAUGUUGACGUACGCCGUCACCUCUCCCUCUUCAAGAUCUCAGUUUUACUCCACUCCGGCGGCUGGAUCCGAAGCGCGGCGGCUCGAUCCAGCAGCUGUGGUACGCCAGCCCCUCCUCUCCAACGCCAGCAGCUGCGGUGCCUAGCCGCAUCAGAGCAGGUUCAAGCAGCAGCAGUAGCUUCAAAUAAGGCGCCUCCCCGACGUGUGGCAACAGCAGUAGCUUCGCCUUGCUCUCUUCUUCUCCUCCUCACUUCAAGCAGUAGAUCAGCGAAGCAGAGCAGCCUUGUGUAGAUGCCUCAUCAACCUACUAGCUGCACCAACGAGAGGUGGGAGACGAGAUGUAGCAUCUCUGUACUGAUGCUCACAUUGCUCAAAAACUUUAGGCAUGUUUGCAAUUGGACAAAUGGUGUAUAACAAUGAUCAUCAUCUCUAAAUUGGACAAUCGGACAACAUCAGCAGGAGGACAGCAACAACAACAUUUUCUCAUGCAUUACAGUGCACCUGGCGAAAACUGAUAAGAAUUGGGAGCGGUGAGGACCAGGCGGGGGAGCAGCGAGGACCAGGCUGGGCAGUGCGGUUGAGAGGACCAGAUUGGUGCAACGAGGACCAAAUUGGGAGGAGCGGCGGCAGCGGCCAGGCUGGGGCGGCGGCGAUCAAAUUGGGAGCGGUGGCGACCAAACUGGGCAAGGACGACGGGGAAGAGACUGGCGAAGGAGGAGGAGGAGAUGGCCGGACUAGCAGCUGGAGGAGGUGGAGGGCGGAGGAGGAGGUGGCCGGCCUGGGCGCCUGGAGGAGGAAGACUACGAGGAGGAGCCUGGCGGAGGAAGACGACGACUUGUUUACAAAUCAGGGGUAUUUUUGUACUUUUGCUCGUUUUCACCUGGUCGGAAAAUACCCUCCAACGACAAAUAAAACGGUACAGAGGGAGUACAUGGUUAACUGCCUUACUGGGUAACUGUUCUAGGCUCCUGACAGGCUGGCGCUGGACGGCUGGACCUCCCGUCGGCUUGCUGGCGUGGGCGCCUUGCGGCGUGGCCUCCUCCUUCCGGCGGGCGGUGGCCCACUUCCCGUCUCCGACCUGCCGCAGCCGAGUCCGGGAGCGGCUGCUGUGGAAGAACGGCAAAACCCUAUUUGAGGCCUACAGCGACGCCAGUUUGGCCGGCCCAGUCAGCGAAUAUCGCUCACAGUUGUAGGCUUGUAGCGUUUUCUCGUUGGUUUUUUAUUCUGCUCAGAUCAGAUAUUUCGUUCACUUUUUCCUUUUCCCAUUUUAGUUUCUUAUUUACUAGCAAAAGGGCCUGUGCAAAACAGAAAAAAUUAUAAUCUUUAAUGGUCAUUAGCACAUUUUGUUGCAUCA